rnacentral:rRNA from 1 species
AGUGAACGCUGGCGGUAGGCCUAACACAUGCAAGUCGAACGGCAGCACAGUAAGAGCUUGCUCUUACGGGUGGCGAGUGGCGGACGGGUGAGGAGUACAUCGGAAUCUACUUUUUCGUGGGGGAUAACGUAGGGAAACUUACGCUAAUACCGCAUACGACCUACGGGUGAAAGCAGGGGAUCUUCGGACCUUGCGCGAUUGAAUGAGCCGAUGUCGGAUUAGCUAGUUGGCGGGGUAAAGGCCCACCAAGGCGACGAUCCGUAGCUGGUCUGAGAGGAUGAUCAGCCACACUGGAACUGAGACACGGUCCAGACUCCUACGGGAGGCAGCAGUGGGGAAUAUUGGACAAUGGGCGCAAGCCUGAUCCAGCCAUGCCGCGUGGGUGAAGAAGGCCUUCGGGUUGUAAAGUCCUUUUGUUGGGAAGGAAAAGCAGAAGGUUAAUACCCCGCUGUUCUGACGGUACCCAAAGAAUAAGCACCGGCUAACUCCGUG